GAGUUUGAUCCUGGCUCAGAUUGAACGCUGGCGGCAUGCCUUACACAUGCAAGUCGAACGGUAACAGGUUAAGCUGACGAGUGGCGAACGGGUGAGUAAUAUAUCGGAACGUGCCCAGUCGUGGGGGAUAACUGCUCGAAAGAGCAGCUAAUACCGCAUACGACCUGAGGGUGAAAGCGGGGGAUCGCAAGACCUCGCGCGAUUGGAGCGGCCGAUAUCAGAUUAGGUAGUUGGUGGGGUAAAGGCCCACCAAGCCAACGAUCUGUAGCUGGUCUGAGAGGACGACCAGCCACACUGGGACUGAGACACGGCCCAGACUCCUACGGGAGGCAGCAGUGGGGAAUUUUGGACAAUGGGCGCAAGCCUGAUCCAGCCAUGCCGCGUGCGGGAAGAAGGCCUUCGGGUUGUAAACCGCUUUUGUCAGGGAAGAAAAGGUUCUGGUUAAUACCUGGGACUCAUGACGGUACCUGAAGAAUAAGCACCGGCUAACUACGUGCCAGCAGCCGCGGUAAUACGUAGGGUGCAAGCGUUAAUCGGAAUUACUGGGCGUAAAGCGUGCGCAGGCGGUUAUGCAAGACAGAGGUGAAAUCCCCGGGCUCAACCUGGGAACUGCCCUUGUGACUGCAUGGCUAGAGUACGGUAGAGGGGGAUGGAAUUCCGCGUGUAGCAGUGAAAUGCGUAKAUAUGCSGAGGAACCCCGAUGGCGAAGGCAUCCCCCUGGACCUGWMCUGAAMSCUCA
rnacentral:rRNA from 1 species